rnacentral:piRNA from 1 species
UGAUAGAUCGUGAUAGGACUGG